UCCUAGCCCAGAUGGGAACGGCAUCCUUUUGUGGCGGGGUUCGCCACAAAAGAUAUAGUGGACAGCUGGAAAUAGC
rnacentral:sRNA from 1 species